AUUGAACGCUGGCGGCAGGCUUAACACAUGCAAGUCGAACGGUAGCAGGAAAGUGCUUGCACUUUUGCUGACGAGUGGCGGACGGGUGAGUAAUGCUUGGGAAUCUGGCUUAUGGAGGGGGAUAACGGCGGGAAACUGUCGCUAAUACCGCGUAGUAUCGGGAGAUGAAAGGGUGGGACUGAAGGGCCACCUGCCAUAAGAUGAGCCCAAGUGGGAUUAGGUAGUUGGUGGGGUAAAGGCCUACCAAGCCUGCGAUCUCUAGCUGGUCUGAGAGGAUGGCCAGCCACACUGGAACUGAGACACGGUCCAG
rnacentral:rRNA from 1 species